AUGCAAUUCACCAUUGCUUAAAUUUUGAGGUGGGAACAAAAAAAUUUUGGGUCGAAAUUUUUGGCUUGCGAUACGAUUUGUUCCGGAUCGAGAUACGAUUUGGGAUCGAUUACUUUCUAUCAAUAAUUUUUUUAUAACAUAUAACAUCUUGGAAAAAAAAAAUUUUUGUGUAUUUUUAACAUUUAACAUCAAUUUCUCUCUCUGUAUAUUUUCUAUGACAUUUAACAUGAAUUUCACUAUUCAACAUUUAAUAUAUGUAAUUUUUAACAAUCAAUUAAAGUAUAGGAGACAAGUUAUUAAAGUAUUUUAGAGUACCAAUGUACAUUCAUAUUACUUUCUGACAUAUGACUCUUCACCUCUCCACACUUGAUUAUUAUUUGCUCAAAAGUUUUUAACAAAUGCUCAAAGUUACUAUACGGUCAUCUCCUAUUCUCCUUCCAUCUUCAUCAGAACCAUAUUGGAGCUUCAAUGGUGCUUAUCAAGGUUUGGGAUCGAUUGAUUCAACAUUCCAGGUCGUGAAUCCACGUGUUCCAGAACGCCAGUGACCCGCAAUUGGGGUCGCACGAUCCAGAUCGGGGGUCGGAGGCCAAACCAUCGAUCCUGGCUACACUGAGUCAAAACUUGUAGCAGCAAUUCCAAGUGGUUUCCCUCUAGCAUGCACGAUGUAGUUUCCAAUGAUAGAAAGUAUACAGCAAGUGUCCUAAUAGAAACACAAACUCUUCCCAGCAAAAAGUCAACAUGUACAACAACCCACUCCUCACAUAAUGCUCCUAACCAUGGCAGGGAUAUGGGUAUGUAAGAAGGGAAUAUGUGCCACCCCCAUGAAAUUGCAUAAAGACUAUCACAUUUAGUUGAUUACAGUUCAAAUCUAUAUAUGUACAUGGUAGACUUCAUCUAGGUCAUGCUUAACAAUAAAGAAGAAAAAUAGAUUUGCGUGAAAGAUGGAAUUAAAUUAUUAUAUAAAGUACUUAAGGAAUGAAGAGAUGAUGAUUGCUCCCCACACUCAUGCUGUCAGUGUUACUCACCAUAGUUGAUCCACCUCCAUAUAAAUUAAUCUAGUAUUUCCAAGGAUUUCGACAAGUUAUACACCCAAUACUAACACGCAGAGUUUGAGAUGGGUAACCGAUUAGAGAAACAUAAGUAAUGAUGCAUUUCCAAUUGGGGAAGUACAGUUCCUCGACUAAGUCCUAAUACCCAUCUUGCGGCUUGCAAUCAUCUAAGUCAUUCCAAAUUUGAACUACAAAUCAAUUCCUAUUGCUUCCUAGAUCAUUCCAAGCAUGGCACGAGUAUUAAAUCUUCUGACAUAGCUUACAAAAAUGUGCAUUUGCAAACAGAACUCCGUAUUGAAGUACACAAUAAAAAUCAACUCAAGCUGGAGAACUUAGGACCAUAUGGCGUUAAUAUUGAAUUGUUUAACAUAUUACAAAUAAAAUGGAGUACACAAGAGUGUUAGGCCUUCAUUAGUAUCCUGAAAUCGUCGCUUACUUUAAUUUCUAUUUAUAAUUAAAAUUAUAAAAUAAGAACUCACCGUAUAGAAUGCCCAACACAAGAGCGCAAACAACAGCUGUUACACCCACCCAUAACAUGGCGCUUUUAACCCGCUUUCCGAUACUCCUACAAGAAAAACACCAAUCGCGGCCAAUAUCAGCAACAAAAACAAUCAACAAAAUCCUGAAAAAAAAAAACGUAUAUCAAUUGAUUGCACAAAUAAGCACCAUACUU